GUUGAUGAGGUAGCGAGAGCCUUCAAGUGUCUGCUGUUUAUUUAUCUCUGAGGGAAAGGAGCCAGAUGGGAUCUGAAUUCGACAGCAGAGGCAGGGCAGCAGGAAGGCUGUUUUAAGAUGGGGGAACUAAGCAGAGGGGGACCCAAGGAGACUGUGACGACGGGACAGAGUGAAUAAACGAAGGGACUGAAGUGGGAGAGAUCCUUGCAGUGAAGACCUCUUCCCUCACCCCUGGAAGUCAGGCGAGGCCACACGAGGUCGGCACCAGACUGGACUGAGGCAGCAAGAACAAAUGCUACGUGGAGCGCUCGCCCUGUGCACACCAGGUGAAUGUUAGCAUUGAUACUUCACAGAUGAGAAAACCGAAGCUCAGAAAUGUACUUGCCUGAAGCCACACAGCCAGCAAUCUAGGAUCUGAACUCCCUAUCUGUGCUCUUUGCGACUACCUAGACAAAGAAUCUCACGUCCACCAUAAGAAAAUCUUUCUGGUACUGUAGGUUGAGCUUAAGAAAUAACUGGACAAGGGGCGCUUGGGGGGCUCAGUCAGUUAGGCAGCCGACUUCAGCUCAGGUGAUUCGCAGUUUGAGAAUUCGGGCCCCACAUAGGACUCUGUGCUGAAAGCUCAGAGACUGGAGCCUGCUUUGGUUUCUGUGUCUCUCACUCUCUGCCU